rnacentral:rRNA from 1 species
UACGUAGGCAGCGAGCGUUGUUCGGAGUUACUGGGCGUAAAGAGUGCGUAGGCGGUUUUCUAAGUUUGGUGUGAAAUCUCCCGGCUCAACUGGGAGGGUGCGCCGAAGACUGGAAGGCUUGAGUGUGGGAGAGGUAAGCGGAAUUCCUGGUGUAGCGGUGAAAUGCGUAGAUAUCAGGAGGAACACCGGCGGUGUAGACGGCUUACUGGACCAUGACUGACGCUGAGGCACGAAAAGCGUGGGGGAGCAAACAGGG